rnacentral:rRNA from 1 species
CUUAGAGUUUGAUCCUGGCUCAGGACCUACGCUGGCGGUAUGCUUAACACAUGCAAGUCGAACGGUGUCUUCGGACAUAGCGGCGGACGGGUGAGUAACGCGUGAGAAUCUAGCUUCAGGUCUGGGACAACCACUGGAAACGGUGGCUAAUACCGGAUGUGCCGGAAGGUGAAAGGCUUGCUGCCUGAAGAUGAGCUCGCGUCCGAUUAGCUAGUAGGUGGGGUAAGAGCCUACCUAGGCGACGAUCGGUAGCUGGUCUGAGAGGAUGACCAGCCACACUGGGACUGAGACACGGCCCAGGCUCCUACGGGAGGCAGCAGUGGGGAAUUUUCCGCAAUGGGCGAAAGCCUGACGGAGCAAUACCGCGUGAGGGAGGAAGGCUCUUGGGUUGUAAACCUCUUUUCUCAGGGAAGAACACAAUGACGGUACCUGAGGAAUCAGCAUCGGCUAACUCCGUGCCAGCAGCCGCGGUAAUACGGAGGAUGCAAGCGUUAUCCGGAGUGAUUGGGCGUAAAGCGUCCGCAGGUGGCUGUGUAAGUCUGCUGUCAAAGAGCAAAGCUCAACUUUGUAAAGGCAGUGGAAACUACACGGCUAGAGUGCGUUCGGGGCAGAGGGAAUUCCUGGUGUAGCGGUGAAAUGCGUAGAGAUCAGGAAGAACACCGGUGGCGAAGGCGCUCUGCUAGGCCGCAACUGACACUGAGGGACGAAAGCUAGGGGAGCGAAUGGGAUUAGAUACCCCAGUAGUCCUAGCUGUAAACG